GUAGUACUUCAACUCAACCCAGUGAAAAAUAACCCUGAAUUAGCCUCACACUUAAUCUUAGCAUAUCAGUGGCAGGAUCUGUUUUGCUUUCACCAGAUAUUUUUUUUUUUGGCUUUUAGUUUUUUUUUAGGGUUGGUUUUUUGGGGCGGAGUGGGGAGGCCAUAGGUUGCUGAGAUGAGGGAAAGGAGCGGACAGAGAGAGCACAGUUAUGUACCGCAAAAUUAACAUAGGUGUUCGUUUGGAAUGUGGACUUCUUUCAGAAUUUUCCUGUAAAAUUUAAUUUGGUCAUGUAAAUUUACAUAAAGCAAGAACUGUAUCUCUAAUGGCUUCCUUUCAGAUCUUCCCUUAUGGAAGACUCACUUUAGGUUGGAGAAGGGGGAAGACCAGUAGGUCUUGGGACUGAUUCAGGUCUGGCUAAUAUUGCUUUUGGGGACCUUAACCCUAUCCUGCUUCAGAUCAUUCUCCUCCCUAUCCAUCCCUCUCUCUAGCUUGCAUCUUGGCCAGCUCUGGUAUUUGCUUUUUUUGCUGAGCUUCUGUCUCCCUGUUAACAGCUAGACCCGUUCCAGAUCUUAACUUCUUCACCCUCUGGAAAUUUUUCCUGAGUGACCCCACCUUACUCUACUCAUUUUUCAUGUUAGGGCUUGGCUACUUCUUGAAUUGUAGCCACAUAAAACACCCAGGAUGCACUUGCUUUCAGCAGUUUGUAAGGCCAUUGCCCAAGCUCUCCUUCACUGGUACCUGGAUAGCCUUUGUCAGAUCAUUAAACACCUGGAAAAAGCUAGAAAACAAGUAAAGAAACUUAUCCCUGAAAUGGAAGGCACCAUUGCCUCAAGAGCACCCAGGAAUGAAUGUUAAAAUGGUUUCACUUCUAGGUAUAGCAUCGCCCAAGUCACUAGCUCCUUUCUGUACCUCAGAGUUUAUAAAAUGAGAGGGCUGGACUUGUAUAUCCCUUAAAGACUUCUAGCUCAAAAUACUAUCACUUUUCUGAAAUUUAUCAUUAUCACAAUUAUAGCCAACAUUUCUAUAAAAUGGGAACAUAAAGAUCAUUCUCAGAUCUGUACAGUGAAUAGAUGAACAUUUAAGUACUUCCUAUGUGUAAAUCACUAUGCCUAAUGCUUCCUAGACAAAUAGAAUAGUAAACUGGUUCUUACUUUCAGGAAAAUCACAUUUUACCAGGGGACAACAUCUGUGACAUAUAUAACACAUUAACACAGAACAACUUUAUCCAGGAUUUCUGUCCUGAAAUUUUCUAGUCCUAAAUUAUCAACUGCUUAUUGAAAAAUGCAAACUGAAUGUCAAUCCAUAAACAUCUUUUAAGUGCCACCUGCAUGCCCGAGGCAGGGAGGUGGCCCAGUGGCUGGAGCCACCAGACCUGGAGGGGAGUCUGGUCUCAGACAUUGCCCAGCUCUUAAACAAGUCACUUAACCCCGCCUGCCUCAGUUUCCUCAUCUGUACAAUGAACUGAAGAAGGAAAUGGCAAACUCCUCCGGUGUCUCUACCAAGAAAACCCCAUGUGGGUCCCAAACAGACACACCGGAAUCACAACAGUAAAGCAUCCAUAACCGUGCUAAAGGCUAGGGACACAAAGAAAGGCAAGGAGCUCCCGUUCAGACACAGGAGACCACAUGUAACACCAUGCACAAACCAGCUGGAGACGGGUUAAAAUGGAGAUAACCAACAGAAGGAAGUCACUAGAAUGGCAGGGGAUGCCCAUGAGCACUCAAACUCAACAACUCAUAGUUUUGCCCCUGCCCCCAGCCCACCCUCUUGUCAACGUUCCUCCAAUGGUUCUGGGCACCAGCAUCUUCCCGGUCCCUGGGGUUUACAAGCUGGGUGUCAGCAGCUCUUCACCCACACUUAUUCCACAUAUCCAACCAGCUGCUAAAUUUGUCAUCUCUAUCUUUGCGAGGGGCACUUGGUUCUGUCUCUCGACAUAUAGCUGACGAAGGCCCUCAUCACUUCUUGCCUGGUGUUCCUCAUUCCAACACAUCCUUCCCUCAGCUGUCAAAGUGAUGUUACUAAAGCACAGUAGGUACCAUCUCUGUGUGUGUGUCUGUCCCCCUCUCACUCUAUUUCUCUCCCUCUGUUUCUCUCGCUCCUUCAUACACACACCCCUUUUUGGACCAAAAAAACAAACAAACCUCUACUGGGUUUCCUAUUAUCUGCAAGAAUCAAAUGUAAACUCUUUUGUUAGAAAUGGAAAGCUCUUUCCAUCCUGGCCCCUUACUUCCCCAAACCUUACACCCAUUCUCCAAUUCAACUCUAUUGGUCUGUUUUCUUUUUUUGUUUGUUUGUUUGCCCCCCCCCCCAAAAAAAAAUGAUACUAAUGUUGUAUCAACCCAACUCUCCGGCUUUUGUGCAUUUGCAGUUUUCCAUGUGCCUUCCUCAUUUCUUCCUCUUAGAAUAAAUACCUGACCUCCUUCAAGACUCAGUUCAAAUGCCACCUUCUGCUACAGCCUUCUGCAAACCUCUUCAGUUGCUAGCAUCUUCCCGCUAAGAUUACCUUCCAUUUAUCCCCUAUAUGUCUUGUAUCUUUCUACCUGUUGAAAGUACAUUAGAAUAUAAGAUCCUUGAGGACAGGAACUACUUUUCUUUUUUUUUUUUUUCUUGUUCCUAAUGACAAAGUACCUGAGAAUGAGUCCUUGGUAAAUGCUUGUUGAUUGAUGAGCAUAUUAGAAUUGAUUUCUAGGUACCAGACAAUACAACCAUUCUUGAGAUUUCUUGGUCACCAGGUGCAAAUAUCUGUUUUCUCCUCUGGAUUAGAUUGUAAAUGUCUUGAGGACAGAGACUCUCCAGAUUUUGAAAUUGCAUCCCCAGAGUUUAGUAAGGUGCCAACACUCAAUAAAUGCUUUUUGUUUGUUCAUUCAAAAGACUUCCUUCCUUUCUCCCCUUUCCCCCAUCCCCCUCUGCAAUUUUCCUCCCCCUCAACGAGCACAUAACACACCGUAAAAGUAAUCACUCCCUCUUCAAAUUUUCUCCUGGUAUUUUGGCUCUUUUCCCUAGAUCCCAUUCAACUUUGCACUAAUAACUAUUUGCCCCUUCUCCUGACAGCCCCUCCUCUCAUUACACUGCAAGCUUCCCUAUAUAUUCAUUUUUGUAGAAUAAGGCACA
rnacentral:lncRNA from 1 species